rnacentral:rRNA from 1 species
CACGUAGGGCGCAAGCGUUGUCCGGAAUUAUUGGGCGUAAAGAGCUCGUAGGCGGACUGUCACGUCUGCUGUGAAAAGCUGGGGCUUAACCCUGGCCUUGCAGUGGAUACGGGCAGACUAGAGGUAGGUAGGGGAGAAUGGAAUUCCCGGUGUAGCGGUGAAAUGCGCAGAUAUCGGGAGGAACACCGGUGGCGAAGGCGGUUCUCUAGGCCUUACCUGACGCUGAGGAGCGAAAGCGUGGGGAGCGAACAGG